rnacentral:lncRNA from 1 species
CACGUAUAGGAAGUUGUAUUUGUCGACAAUGUAUCUGUAACCAAAGUAAACCGCGCCUACAGGGACCACGAGUGGAGCGAAUGAAGAGUAUAUCAUUGUCAAGGCAAAGAUGGUGAGGUUGAAGGCAUAGUAUUGUGCAAAGUCGAACUUUUGCUUUGGGAUUGGUGAGGUUCGGCUGAUUGGGUACUCAGCAAGGUCUUGGCUCAUAGGUUCAACGUCGCCGAAUCUUGGAGACUCGAACAUGUUUUCAGGGAGAAGCGGCGUCUCAAGGUUGCUUUGAUUUUCCAAAGGGUACUCUUCGUUUUGCUCGGGGACUAGCUGAAGCAUAUCGUUCUUCCUGAACUUCUGGAUUUUUUUCUUGAUCCAAGGGAUUGGAGCGAGUAGAUCAAAGGAGAUUCCCAAGAACGUGCUUGUGAUGAGGAACGCUAGAGCGGAAACGCAUGACCUUGAUAAGAAGGAAGGGCUCACGUAUUCUUCAAUCCUCUUGCAAUCCUCGCCGUCUAAGUAGCAGCGGCUCAUUUUCAAGAACGCGCUUUCAAGCGACGACUCGACGAGAGCCUUUAGCACGAUGAGGUUCACGAGGAAGAAGCAAACCAUCACAAGAUGUAAAGUGAAGAGAUACUAACUGCUACUAAACCGAAUGUGACACUCUGGAUUCUUAUAUUCGGUUGUUAAGUGCAUAACAUCUCCAUAAGAAAGACACCAUGUAGAGGCAAUUGCUAAUUUUUGUUUCUUCUGACCUCUUAAGAGUCUUAAUCACAUUUAAACAGAAAAAAAAAAUCCCGUUUAUAAAUUGCAAGAGAUAGUGACUGCAACAAACAUAAUUCUCUCAAAAGAUGGAUUAUACACAAAAAGGGAUAUACAAACUUACAAAGAGAAGAAUCCGUAACUUCGAGAAACAGAUUCCAAAACUCGAUAUGGUGGUCAAAGACCAAAACUAAUAAGUCAUAAGGUUACAGAAACAUCAUCUGUUGUAAGUGUCCCAAUCAAAGUUGGGUUGAGAAUAAGCUUCGUAAUCAACUGGCCCGUCGACGAUGCUAUCGACGGUCUGAAUAUUCCUGAGAAGAGCCGGGUGAUACCGUUCUGUAUCCGAAGGCAAAAGCUUGUACAUCACAAGCAACCCAAGCGUGAAAAUCGCUUGAAGCUUCGUGGAAUCUCCUUUGACAGAGAAGAAAAACAGCAUGGAGACGAUGUACAGGUCGAUGCAGAACCGCAUGAUGCACAAAACCGUGUCCAUCAGCUUCCCUUCGUUCCCUGCAGGGAAGCCGCGGACUCUGUACACGUAUAGGAAGUUGUAUUUGUCGACAAUGUAUCUGUAACCAAAGUAAACCGCGCCUACAGGGACCACGAGUGGAGCGAAUGAAGAGUAUAUCAUUGUCAAGGCAAAGAUGGUGAGGUUGAAGGCAUAGUAUUGUGCAAAGUCGAACUUUUGCUUUGGGAUUGGUGAGGUUCGGCUGAUUGGGUACUCAGCAAGGUCUUGGCUCAUAGGUUCAACGUCGCCGAAUCUUGGAGACUCGAACAUGUUUUCAGGGAGAAGCGGCGUCUCAAGGUUGCUUUGAUUUUCCAAAGGGUACUCUUCGUUUUGCUCGGGGACUAGCUGAAGCAUAUCGUUCUUCCUGAACUUCUGGAUUUUUUUCUUGAUCCAAGGGAUUGGAGCGAGUAGAUCAAAGGAGAUUCCCAAGAACGUGCUU